rnacentral:rRNA from 1 species
CCUACGGGAGGCAGCAGUGAGGAAUAUUGGUCAAUGGACGAGAGUCUGAACCAGCCAAGUAGCGUGAAGGAUGACUGCCCUAUGGGUUGUAAACUUCUUUUAUAUGGGAAUAAAAUGUUCCACGUGUGGGAUUUUGUAUGUACCAUACGAAUAAGGAUCGGCUAACUCCGUGCCAGCAGCCGCGGUAAUACGGAGGAUCCGAGCGUUAUCCGGAUUUAUUGGGUUUAAAGGGAGCGUAGGUGGAUUGUUAAGUCAGUUGUGAAAGUUUGCGGCUCAACCGUAAAAUUGCAGUUGAAACUGGCAGUCUUGAGUACAGUAGAGGUGGGCGGAAGUCGUGGUGUAGCGGUGAAAUGCUUAGAUAUCACGAAGAACUCCGAUUGCGAAGGCAGUUCACUGGACUGCAACUGACACUGAGGCUCGAAAGUGUGGGUAUCAAACAGGAUUAGAUACCCUUGUAGUC